rnacentral:rRNA from 1 species
UGCGAAUGCUGACAUAAGUAACGAUAAAGCGGGUGAAAAGCCCGCUCGCCGGAAGACCAAGGGUUCCUGUCCAACGUUAAUCGGGGCAGGGUGAGUCGACCCCUAAGGCGAGGCCGAAAGGCGUAGUCGAUGGGAAACAGGUUAAUAUUCCUGUACUUGGUGUUACUGCGAAGGGGGGACGGAGAAGGCUAUGUUGGCCGGGCGACGGUUGUCCCGGUUUAAGCGUGUAGGCUGGUUUUCCAGGCAAAUCCGGAAAAUCAAGGCUGAGGCGUGAUGACGAGGCACUACGGUGCUGAAGCAACAAAUGCCCUGCUUCCAGGAAAAGCCUCUAAGCAUCAGGUAACAUCAAAUCGUA